rnacentral:rRNA from 1 species
AAGGACGAACGCUGGCGGCGUGCCUAACACAUGCAAGUCGAGCGGGGACAUGCGACGGAGUGAAAGUUUCGGACGGACAUGAAGAUGUAUGUUCUAGCGGCGGACGGGUGAGUAACGCGUGAGCAACCUGUCCCUCACAGGGGGAUAACACAGCGAAAGUUGUACUAAUACCGCAUAAGACCACAGCGAGACAUCUCGCAGGGGUCAAAGGAGCAAUCCGGUGAGGGGUGGGCUCGCGUCCGAUUAGAUAGUUGGUGAGGUAACGGCCCACCAAGUCGACGAUCGGUAGCCGACCUGAGAGGGUGAUCGGCCACAUUGGGACUGAGACACGGCCCAAACUCCUACGGGAGGCAGCAGUGGGGAAUAUUGGGCAAUGGGGGGAACCCUGACCCAGCAACGCCGCGUGAGGGAAGAAGGUUUUCGGAUCGUAAACCUCUGUCCUAUGUGAAGAGGAAGAGACGGUAGCAUAGGAGGAAGCCCCGGCUAACUACGUGCCAGCAGCCGC